UUUUUUUAUUUACAAAAAUCUCACUUUGACCAUAUCUCUAAAUCCCACUAUGGUUUUUACUUCAUGUAGAAUCUGCUAGAGGUAGCAGGAACAUUCCAUAGGCAUGGUAAAGAUAUGAAAGGAUCUAGGGGAAAAUUCUUCCCUCCACACUAAAAGAGUUUAUGACUCAAAAGAUAUGUGAAGCAGAAGUAACAGGAGGAACAGAUGCAAAGGAAACUGCUGUAAAGAAUCUUAUCUAGUAUCAGAUAUGACAAAAGCACUUUUAGAAGAAGCACUGUAAUUAAAUGAAAACAAGAGCCAGGAAUCUAUUAAGAAGAUGAUGCUCUGCCAAAUUUGUUUACCCACAGACAAGAGCUACCCUGAGUAUGAAGCAGCAAGGCUUAGCACUCCUUUGCCAAGCACAUGCGCUCUACAUCAGUAGAGACUGAGACCAGGUGACAGCUGCUGUCUGUCCUCAAGGAUAAUUUGUGAAAAUUCAUGUUUUCCACCAGAGGUUUGGUCUAACACAUUUUCUAAAAGAAGAUAAGCAUAAAAAUGUUAAAGAUUUAACAAAGAUAUUUUUAAAAGUAACAGUGUUAAGGAUUCCUGGGACCCCACAGAAAGUAAAAUAUUGUAUAAAAAGAAACUUAGAAAAGAAUCAAGAUCUUAAGGAUUCCCUAGACCCAACUGAAAAUAAAAUGUCAGAUGGAUUUCUAGUUUCUAGUUCUAUUUCCAAACAUUUGAUGGAUAUGCUAAAACCAAAGGAAACUUUUCAAGUUGGGGAAAGGAAUUUCAAAUGCAAUGCUAAAACAAAGAGUAAUGUAAUUAAACAUCUCAUGAUUUGAACAUCUACAAAAUGAAUUUCAAUAACUUAGGUUAACGUGUGUACAAAGGUACACAAGGUUAAGUACCAGAUUUGCUGCUAAGGAUAAUUCAUCAACUGCACAACUAUCCACAUAAUCUGGAUGACCGCUGAUGGAAGUAUUUGACAGAUGAGCUCUGAAACUAUUCAGGACCAAUAUAAAGCACUCUUUGCUCCAAACUGUAGUGCAAAAUGAUUAAGAACUCUUAAGGUCAGAGAUCCUUUUAGUCUUGUUCUUAUGGACAUGCACACACACACACACACACACACACGUACACACAUACAGACACAUACACCUGAUUUGGAUUUCAAUAAAGACAGAUAUUUAUUUGUCUUUGGACCAAGCAUGUUUUUAUUUUUUUAUCUGGGUGUAAAUAUGUAUGAUUUUCACAUUAUCACACAAAAGUUUGAGGGAAUGCACAAUGUGAUUUUGAUCCUAUAUUUAAGCUUUACUCUUGAAAUAUUUAUCAAAAUGUACGAUUACCUGCAUUGGUAGAUCUGUGAUGUGAUCUUUUUCUAUCUGUAGUGUUUCUCAGUAGGUUGUGGGAGUAGAUAUAUUUAGGGCACUGUGGAUGUGUCUUCGUAGAGAUUUCAAAUUCUAAGAUGGCAGUGACCAAAUCUUACCCUCUAACUCCACUGGCUCUUAAUUAAUACUUGCUAAAUGAGUAAAUGAAUAAGUGUGAAAUUACUCUGGGUGUCAAUCAGAGAGCGAUCCCAGUAGCAGUCUCUGUAGUCCCAGUCAACCUAGAUCUAGUCAACAGGAUGGGCACUGCCAGUAGACAAAGUGGCAACCAUACUGUCAAGGGCAAAAUUCAAAAUUAUUGAGUAGGGCCAGUUCCAUCCACAAAUAUUUACUGAAUGAGUGAUUGAGAUGAAAAGAACAAGGGCCUUCAACCCUUACUAAAAGAGGACUGAGGUUUUCUUUUAUAUUAGUUUGAGAUAAAUAUAAGAAACCAUAGAGUCUACUGGACAAGUCUCCCAAUGCUAUGUUUGAGACUAGGCCUGGAAAAUUCUGGGGAGUAACAGUCACCUUCUAGUGAAUGCAUAAUGUGUGUGUGUACGUGCUACCUUUUAUAGGACAUAGAUACAUGUCUUUAUAUUGAAAAAUGGAGGAAUGCCUGGGUAGCUCAGCAGAUAAGCAUCUGCCUUCAGCUCAGGGCGUGAUCCCACGGUCCAGGAUCGAGUCCCACAU
rnacentral:lncRNA from 1 species